UACGUAGGGGGCGAGCGUUGUCCGGAAUCAUUGGGCGUAAAGCGCGUGUAGGCGGCCCGGUAAGUCCGCUGUGAAAGUCCAGGGCUCAACCCUGGGAUGCCGGUGGAUACUGUCGGGCUCGAGUCCGGAAGAGGCGAGUGGAAUUCCUGGUGUAGCGGUGAAAUGCGUAGAUAUCGGGAGGAACACCAGUGGCGAAGGCGACUACCUGGCCUGUUCUUGACGCUGAGGCGCGAAAGCUAGGGGAGCAAACGGG
rnacentral:rRNA from 1 species